GACUCAGGUAAGGUAAGCGUGAGUCUUCAGGGUUAUUUGUGGGUUCAACGCUUGAGUAAAUGCGUACAAAAAUAAAUAACAAAACUCUCAGUGAAAUAAUUAAUAAUAUUAUCUUUUAACCUGUCGUUAAUACGAAGUAAAUUAAUUAACCGGUUUUAAUAAUUGAAUGAUACGUAAUGAAAUUGUAAUAACAUAACCAAACAAAAUAAUAACUCAAAUUAAUCGUAAUUAAGAUUAUUGAAGUUCUCGGAUAAGGAAACUUGGACUCUUCAAUGGAAUCAGUAAAAAUGAUUCUUGAUUGGAUUGAAAUAAUUCUUCGGAAUGGAUUAAUUGGAUCAGAUUUCAACGUCCAGCUUCAAAAAUAUAUUCAAAUAUUUAAUGUACGGAUUUUCGUCCAAUUCUUCAUCAAAACUCCCAUAUAAUGGAUGGUUUUCGUCCUUGAGAUGCUAAGAUUAUCAUUUUCAAUAAUAUCAACUGGACAAAUAUGAAUUACAAUAAGAAAUUAAUGAAAAAUGAAAUUUGAGGUUAUGUCACUGUCGAAAUUCUACAAAAUUACUUCGUAUCGACUUUACAUGGAUUAAAUACAAUAAAAAACGCAUUGCUGAUCUGGAGGUUGCUAUUUUCGUCUCACCCUCCCAGGUCCAGAGGAACGAAUGCGGGGUGGUCGUGAAGGGGGUGGAAAGAAGCAGCUCGAAAUACUGGGUAGCAAAGGACGGAAGGAAGGUGCGGCGGGGGUGAAAGUUCCCUUCCAUCGUCUCCACCCCCGCCAGCUUCCAGGAUAUUCUCUGGAAGCGACAAUAAAUCAAGACUGGGAUUUAAUUAAAUCUUGCAUUGAAGUUGCGCGGGUCGCCGCUCGCCGCGCUGCGGAGCCGCAAGUGGCGGAGGAGGGGGUUUCGCCGUAGGGGAGGUUCACCCCAUCCCUACCGUCACCACUACCGACGCCGCCGCCUCCGCCCCCAACCCGGAUGGUGCUAUCCCCGACGUCCGCGUCCGUUUGGCGGUCAUAAUUUUUAAUUAUUGUUGGGAACGCAACGACAGCAGCAGCAGCAACGAGAAAGAAGACAAAAAGCUGGAGGUGGAGAAUUUUUUCCCUUAACAUAAAAAAAUGAAAGCUCCACAUAACCCAUACGUAUAACUGAAUACAUUAGCCCUUGCCCUUUUUAAGAUCAAACGAGAAGCCCUUUUACGGCCAAUCGAUCCGCACGGUCCGAAAGACAUCUGCAAGAACUCCAAGUCCGUCGGAGAGAUCAAAGCUCACGCGAAAGCUCUCGACCGGCUUAUACGGCGGACAAUCCGUAAUUGAAACGAGAUCCGUAAGGUCCCGCUAAAUUCCCCAGAAUUAGACCCCGUCCAUUCGGAAAAGCUUUGAAAGCUUCUUUUAUUACAUCACUGAAAAUGAGAAAAAUUCCCAACGCAACACUAACGGUUGGUCGAAAAGAAGCAAAACAGCACCUAUCCGAGGCGAAAAUCUUAACCCAACCGCAAAAGGGACUUGAAAGCUCCCCAAUAAAAAUGUUAUAAUCGACCACAUGCGUCGACCGCAAACCAUAUCAGCCAAUCGGAAAUCGUCUUCUAACCGCAAAGCCACGCCUAGUCUAACCGCAAACCAACCGCAAGGAAAGGUGCGUCGAGACGCUGGAAUAUGAAAGCUCGUUGGAGCUUCGAUUAACCACACGGAGAGCUUUUAACCCAAAAUGUUUUGUGUUGAGACUUAUCAUAUAUAACACAAAACGAUAAAUUUUUUUUAUCAAUAAACGAUAUCUUUAAUGAGAGCUUUUUUGAUAAGAAAAAAAGCUCUCACCAACGCACUCUAACGUCUAGGGGAGAAACUUGAGUGUACUUUAAGACGAGACAAACGUCGUAAAGAAAUACUCUCUUAAAACUCCCCCCUUUCUUGGGACCGCGCUAAGAUCGGAUUUUGCAUCUUUUAAAUUUAGCAAAUCGCAA